GACGAGGGAUCCUAGCGUUGCUCGGAAUUAUUGGGCGUAAAGCGGGUGUAGGUGGCUUUCUAAGUCGGGGGUGAAAUCCUGGAGCUCAACUCCAGAACUGCCUUCGAUACUGGAGAGCUCGAGUCCGGGAGAGGUGAGUGGAACUGCGAGUGUAGAGGUGAAAUUCGUAGAUAUUCGCAAGAACACCAGUGGCGAAGGCGGCUCACUGGCCCGGUACUGACGCUGAGGUGCGAAAGCGUGGGGAGCAAACAGG
rnacentral:rRNA from 1 species